rnacentral:rRNA from 1 species
AGCGAACGUUAGCGGCGGGCCUAACACAUGCAAGUCGAACGCGAAAGGUCUUCGGACUGAGUAGAGUGGCGCACGGGUGAGUAACACGUAGGUAAUCUACCCUUUGGCGGGGAUAACGUUCCGAAAGGAGCGCUAAUACCGCAUAAGACCACGGAGUCUCCGGACGCUGUGGGAAAAGGUGGCCUCUUCUUGAAAGCUACCACCGAAGGAUGAGCCUGCGUCCCAUCAGCUAGUUGGUAAGGUAAUGGCUUACCAAGGCGAAGACGGGUAGCUGGUUUGAGAGAUGAUCAGCCACACUGGCACUGGAACACGGGCCAGACUCCUACGGGAGCAGGCAGUGAGGAAUAGUUGGGCAAUGGGCGAAAGCCUGACCCAGCCACGCCGCGUGAGUGAUGAAGGCCCUCGGGUCGUAAAGCU